AUUUGAAAUCUGGGGUCCCCGACCCCCGAGUUGUAAUUUGGAGAGGCAUCUUCGGGGGGGAGCGCCGGCCCAUGUUCCUUGGAACAGGACGUCGCAGAGGGUGAGAAUCCCGUGCCAGGCCGGCUGCCUCCUCCCGGGUGAAGGGCCUUCGACGAGUCGAGUUGUUUGGGAAUGCAGCUCCAAGUGGGUGGUAAAUUUCAUCUAAAGCUAAAUACCGGCGGGAGACCGAUAGCGCACAAGUAGAGUGAUCGAAAGAUGAAAAGCACUUUGAAAAUAGAGUCAAAAAGUACGUGAAAUUGUUGAAAGGGAAGCGCUUGAGACCAGACUCAGGCCCGGGCAAACACCGCGCCCCCAGGGGCCGUGCAAUUGCCUGGGGCUGGGCCAGCAUCAGUCGGCGUGGCGGGACAAAGGCGCGGGGAAUGUGGCUCCCCUCGGGGAGUGUUAUCAGGCCCGCGCUCAAUGCCGCCGACGCCGACUGAGGACCGCGCCUCGGCUAGGAUGCUGGCUUAAUGGCCUUCAGCGACCCGUCUUGAAACACGGACCAAGGAGUCUAACAUCUAUGCGAGUGUUUGGGCGCCAAACCCUUGCGCGGAAUGAAAGUGAGCGGAGGUGGGAACCCCCCAGCGGGGCGCACCAUCGACCGAUCCUGAUGUCUUCGGAUGGAUUUGAGUAGGAGCAUAGCUGUUGGGACCCGAAGAUGGUGAACUAUGCCUGAAUUGGGUGAAGCCAGAGGAAACUCUGG
rnacentral:rRNA from 1 species